rnacentral:pre_miRNA from 1 species
UAUAAUUUUUAACUCUUUAUUUUAUUUAAAUUUUUUUUGUGAUUGAUAUUUUUGUUUUUAUUAGAUGAUAAAUCAUGAAUAGUACUUUACGUAUGACUAAUUUUUUUCUAAUUUUCUGAAAUUUUUUAAAUAAAACGGAUGGUCAAACGUUAGACAUGAAAACC